GGUGCUGCCACCAUAGAGCCCAGCAGCAGGAUAGUCCGUGGGUACGGGGCACAGGACACCUGUGGAGCCUGCACCCGGAUACAUCAUAGGUGGAUGGAUAGGGGCAGAAGCUGCAGGGUCCCUGCAGCUUGCUCCAGGAGGACCCCUCUGACUCCAUGUCCCAGGCAGCGUGAGACGAGAUAGCAAGGACUCAAGCUACCACAGCAAGCAGGUGGUGUUCACCCCGGGAUGUCAUCUGGACUUUUCAUGGGGAACAUAAAGAACUCUCUAGUCACCCCAGACAGGUGCAGGCCCUGAGAGACCAAAGAAAGGGAUCUGUCCAAGUGCAGCUUGGUGAGCCAAAGGGAAGUGCCUUGUGGCGAUCUCUGAGACUGCCUGCUCCAGGGGGGUGAGUCCAUAGGCUGGAUCCCAAGAGUCUCAGGCUGAGUCAUCACAGCUCAGAUUCAAGAUGGCGGUGGUCACGUCAGUCCAAGGAGAC